rnacentral:rRNA from 1 species
CUACGGGGUGCACCAGUGAGGAAUAUUGCACAAUGGGGGGAACCCUGAUGCAGCAACGCCGCGUGGAGGAUGACGCAUUUCGGUGUGUAAACUCCUUUUAUAUGUCAAGAAAAUGACGGUAGCAUAUGAAUAAGCACCGGCUAACUCCGUGCCAGCAGCCGCGGUAAUACGGAGGGUGCAAGCGUUACUCGGAAUCACUGGGCGUAAAGGACGCGUAGGCGGGUUGGAAAGUCAGGUGUGAAAUCCCACAGCUUAACUGUAGAACUGCACUUGAAACUUCUAAUCUAGAGUAUGGGAGGGGGAGAUGGAAUUAGUGGUGUAGGGGUAAAAUCCGUAGAUAUCACUAGGAAUACCUAAAGCGAAGGCGAUUUCCUGGAACAUUACUGACGCUAAGGCGUGAAAGCGUGGGGAGCAAACAGGAUUAGAUACCCGCGUAGUC